rnacentral:lncRNA from 1 species
UGUAAAGCAGGAAGUACCCAUGCAUCGGUCUUUUUUUUUGGCAGAUGAGCUUUUCUCACUUGUAGCUCAGUGCUUACAUACUACCUUAGUCUGUGCUGCUCUGUGCAUCCAUUUAACUAAUCUUUGAAAGAUUGAAACCACAGUGUGGGUGAAUGAAGAGCAUGGAACAGUUUUUUAUCAUUGUGCUAUUAGCAGGAGGAACUCAAGGUAAGACUGUCCUCAUAAAGAAGCCAAACAUUCACAUUUGUAGUGAAUAAUUUCACCUCAUGUUCUAUUAAAUGUGUUUUUUCCAGCUCUCAUUCCAGUUGAUGAGACUACAUGUGACCUCAGGACGAGCACAUGUCCAUGCUCUCCUCUUCUUAAAGGAACUGUGUAUGUCCAAGUGAUGACUGAUGCUAGUGGCCGUGAAGUGACAUGUUUGAAGAUGCUUCCCACCGUGAAUAUAAUUGUGUUCAAUCUGAAGAAAGAAACAAUAACAAUAGACAAAGAAUUUAACAACAGACUACACUUUCUAAUCAGGAACGGGACACUCAAGAUCACAAACCUGAGGAGGAAUGAUUCAGGUCAAUAUAACAUUGAGGUCUUUAAUUCAGGUGGAGUCCGAGAGAAAAACAUUAAUUUCACCCUGGAUGUUAAAGGCAAUGACAAAGUUGAAAGCAAGAUAUCACACAGUUUUCCUUACCUGAGGAUAGUCUUUGCUGCACUGGGAUCUCCCCUGAUAGCAGUGUCGUGCUGCGUUGUGUAUCGGGAACUGAAGCAUCUUAAGAAGACUUCUAACAAGGCGGCCCAUGAUCAAAAGAGCCUCAGGUGUGAAACAGAGAAUAUAAACCUUAAGUGUGAGUCUGAGCUUUAG